GUCAGCUGCUGGUCUGCUAGCAGAUGGCAUGGGGACUCCAGAUGUGGGGCAGUGCACCAUGUGAUGCCGUUUCUGAGCCGUCAAGCUGGAAACAAGAGAGCCUGACUCCCUCUCCCCCCCCAAGACCUGGGGCAGUCAAGAGACAAGCCUCUUCCUCCACCCUCCAUCUAUGCAAGCCCUGCACACGGCUGUCCUAAUCUCCCAGUGACCUCGCAGGAGUACCCAGGUGAACGGCAUCAGCUGCUUGCUUACAGUCAAGGGCUCUGAAGAAGGAGGAAGGAGCUGUGAUGGAAGCUGGGUUUCUUUCCUCCUGGCCUGAAGGAACUCUCUGGUAACUAGCCAACUAGUCUCCAUGUCUUUCAGGACAAGGCUAACUCUUGCUCCGCAAAGACCUUGACAUUUUAUCCUCUGUUAAGCACCCCCUUUCUUCAGCCCCAUCAGCUGGGGGAACGUGGCAGCUCCUCUAAUAACCCCAGGUUUCAAACCUCCCCUUGGGAGGUGCAGGUUGUCAGGGCAGGCAAAUCAGUUUUGCUUGGAGAUCUCAGGAGAAGAAAGAGAAGCCCAGAGACCCCGAUCUCGUGCUAUGUUCUGGGAAGCUGCAUCUUCCACUGCCACUUUCAAGUGAACUGAAGCUCGUUACAAACACCGAAGAGGUGUGUGAUUCCGAGGAGGGGCCUGCAAAAUGGGAACUUGGCCUAGCGACACCUCCGAGGGCCAGUGGGAGAGAACCGCAAGCCUGUCCAGAUCUUAUCUUCUCAAGAAGGGGCAGGAAAACAGCACAGCGGCCUAGACAGGAACACCAGCUAGCGCCUGCUUACCACACCCCCACGCGGGGUGAAUUUACCAUUUCCCAUGAAGAUGAAAGAGGGGAAGCGCAGCAGGGCUUCCCUGAGGCUCCGUGGGGCAAGGCAGGGGCCAUGAGGACGACUCAAGGCAAUUGACUCUGCCAGAUCCCCCCCAAAAGAACACUGGGGGACUUACCCACUCUUUUAUGAAGAGGCAAUACAGCAAUAAAACCAGAUGCCUUGGUGUUUCCUUC